rnacentral:rRNA from 1 species
UACGGGAGGCAGCAGUGGGGAAUAUUGCACAAUGGGCGCAAGCCUGAUGCAGCCAUGCCGCGUGUAUGAAGAAGGCCUUCGGGUUGUAAAGUACUUUCAGUCGUGAGGAAGGUGUUAAGGUUAAUAACCUUAGCAAUUGACGUUAGCGACAGAAGAAGCACCGGCUAACUCCGUGCCAGCAGCCGCGGUAAUACGGAGGGUGCGAGCGUUAAUCGGAAUUACUGGGCGUAAAGGGCACGCAGGCGGUUAAUUAAGUUGGAUGUGAAAUCCCCGGGCUUAACCUGGGAAUGGCAUUCAAGACUGGUUAGCUAGAGUCUUGUAGAGGGGGUAGAAUUCCAUGUGUAGCGGUGAAAUGCGUAGAGAUGUGGAGGAAUACCGGUGGCGAAGGCGGGCCCCUGGACAAAGACUGACGCUCAUGUGCGAAAGCGUGGGGAGGCAAACAGGGAUUAGAUACC